GGUGUGGUUUAAUGGGAGAGCACCGCUCCAUCGUAAGAUUCAGAUAUUUCUCACGUCUCAGGCGGGGGUCCGAGUUCGAUUCUCGGCGCAAGCA